rnacentral:tmRNA from 2 species
GGGGUUGUACUGGUUUCGACGGGGGUUUUGAAAUUGCAGAAGCCAUUCGCAGACUAGGGCUGCGUCACAAACCUAGACAUAAAAAUAAACGCAAACGACAAUUACGAAUUAGCUGCUGCUUAAUGCAGCUUGUCGACCUUAAGCGGCCCGCGGCUUAAGAGCUCGGCAUCAAAUUAGCGGGGACCUUUAUCUUCAAAGCUUUGAGAAGAUAAAAGAUAUAUGAAGCUACCAAUGCUAAGAGCCUGUCUGUCGGCGCUUAGUGGAGGGAACAGCAGGUAAAGUACCCAGGUACCAGGCCUGCAUAAAAGACGGACUGUAAUGGGAGAAACUGCAAUGGAUGGACUUUCGGACAGGGGUUCGAUUCCCCUCAGCUCCAUUU